GACAAACGCUGGCGGCGUGCUUAACACAUGCAAGUCGAACGGAGUGCCUUAGAUUGAAGCUUCGGCAGAUUUCUUUGGUUACUUAGUGGCGGACGGGUGAGUAACACGUGAGUAACCUGCCCUUGAGUGGGGAAUAACACACCGAAAGGUGUGCUAAUACCGCAUAACAUAUCAGAAUCGCAUGUUUUGAUAUCAAAGAUUUAUUGCUCAAGGAUGGGCUCGCGGCCGAUUAGGUAGUUGGUGAGGUAACGGCUCACCAAGCCGACGAUCGGUAGCCGGACUGAGAGGUUGAACGGCCACAUUGGGACUGAGACACGGCCCAGACUCCUACGGGAGGCAGCAGUGGGGAAUAUUGCACAAUGGGGGAAACCCUGAUGCAGCGACGCCGCGUGAGUGAAGAAGUAUUUCGGAUGUAAAGCUCUAUCAGCAGGGAAGAAAAUGACGGUACCUGACUAAGAAGCCCCGGCUAACUACGUGCCAGCAGCC
rnacentral:rRNA from 1 species